GAUGAACGCUGGCGGCGUGCCUAAUACAUGCGAGUCGAGCGAACAGAUGAGGAGCUUGCUCCUCUGACGUUAGCGGCGGACGGGUGAGUAACACGUGGAUAACCUACCUAUAAGACUGGGAUAACUUCGGGAGACCGGAGCUAAUACCGGAUAAUAUAUUGAACCGCAUGGUUCAAUAGUGAAAGACGGUUUUGCUGUCACUUAUAGAUGGAUCCGCGCCGCAUUAGCUAGUUGGUAAGGUAACGGCUUACCAAGGCAACGAUGCGUAGCCGACCUGAGAGGGUGAUCGGCCACACUGGAACUGAGACACGGUCCAGACUCCUACGGGAGGCAGCAGUAGGGAAUCUUCCGCAAUGGGCGAAAGCCUGACGGAGCAACGCCGCGUGAGUGAUGAAGGUCUUCGGAUCGUAAAACUCUGUUAUUAGGGAAGAACAAAUGUGUAAGUAACUAUGCACGUCUUGACGGUACCUAAUCAGAAAGCCACGGCUAACUACGUG
rnacentral:rRNA from 1 species